UACAGAGGUCUCAAGCGUUGUUCGGAUUCAUUGGGCGUAAAGGGUGCGUAGGCGGCGCGGUAAGUCGGGUGUGAAAUCUCGGAGCUUAACUCCGAAACUGCAUUCGAUACUGGCGUGCUUGAGGACUGGAGAGGAGACUGGAAUUCAUGGUGUAGCAGUGAAAUGCGUAGAGAUCAUGAGGAAGACCAGUGGCGAAGGCGGGUCUCUGGACAGUUCCUGACGCUGAGGCACGAAGGUCAGGGGAGCAAACGGG
rnacentral:rRNA from 1 species